GACAGAUUUCUGCCUCGUACCUAUCUAGUUGUUUCCAUAUUAAGCAUAUCUAAUUUUAAUUUCCAGGCACUGGACAUAUUACUUCGAUGAAUUAUACACUAGAAUCUCCUCCUUCCAAAUGAUUUGUCCACAAGAGCUGCCUACAAAAGCAUCAAGGUCUCAGCACAUCAGCCUGAAAAGCUAUUGACAGGAGGAAUGUGAGCUGUUGCUAAGUUACAGUUGCAUGAUAAGGGCCAUGAUGGUAAGGGCUCUGCUGAAUCUAACAGGGAGGUGGUUUCUUAAGAUGAGUUCUUGUGCUGCCUCAAGAAUGACUUCUGCUGACUGAUGAUCAGUGUGACAAAGGGAUUGAAGCUGCUAAAUCUAUAUGUAU
rnacentral:lncRNA from 1 species